GUGGAGUCACCGAGUGCUCGAAAAAAGAAGACCGCAAAUGACGACCCUCUUUUCGUUUGCGUUUCUAUCGCUGAUAUGGAUGGCACGUACGACUGAAAAAACCUGAUGUUCCAAUCAAAGGUGAUCGGAGGGAAGGAACCCACAGUGGCUAUUACUCUGCCUCUACAAUCUCAGCAAGGAUGCAUUGUGGAGUGGUGCCCGGCUUUUAAAGAGCCGCACUUAAACAAGUACAUUGAUGUUAACGCAGAGGAU
rnacentral:lncRNA from 1 species